rnacentral:lncRNA from 1 species
AAAACUAUGCAAAUCAAGGUGCAUAUACAAAUGUGAUCUCCUUAAGUGCUCCCAAAAGACUACUUCAUAAUGGUCGUCUUCAGAUUUCAUCAUGUCCAUUACCUACGAUAGAAAACAACUAUCGCUAAGCAUAAAGCUUAGUGGCGUAUAAACUUUGGGGUUGGAGUCAUAAAAUUCUCCAAUUCCCCUUUUCUAUCAUAGUUAGCUCGAUUUAACAUAAUUUAAAAUAAGUGAACAAAUAUAUCAAACAUAUCAAAUAUCAAACUUUGAAGUGUUUCCAAAUAUCAAUAACAAUGUUCAAGAGUCGAGAAAGCGUAUACUAUCAAUCCAAGAGAGUUUACCAAAUAUCCAUUUUUCGCCCAAUAUAUACGUCAUGCCAUCACACUAGGCAUUAUCAAAUAUCAAGAUGGACCGAAGUCCCAAAUCAAGUAGGGUCAAAACCCAAUAAUCAAGAGAAUCAAGAACCAUAUUAAAUAUUGCUUCCUAGUUCAUACUUAACACGGACAAGUUUCAUAAUUUAAGAUGAACUAAAAAUUCAAAGUCAAGAUGGAAAAAGAUCCAAAUCAAGAGGCAUGCCAAGAGGAGUGACAAAGUCACUGCCAUAAGAAGGACAUAUUCCCUACAAAAAUGUAAAAUGAUCAAAUAGUCCAUACAAAUGGGCGAUUUAGCAAAUAUCUGAUAAUACUUGAUAUAAUACGAAUAUAACAAUAUAAAUUGAAGACAAGAAAAAUAAUUAUUAGGUUAUUUCGAAAUAUUCCAGCAAGAAAAAAGAGUACAAAGUUUAUACACAAACCUUGGUAUUUUACCAUAAAACAGUUCAAUCACAACAGCUCCCCAAGGCGAAAUACUAGUACGGAUAAAACCUUUCUCAAGAAGUUCUUGCUAACCUUAAACUCUUUUAAUUCAGCUGGAUCCAUUCUAUAAUGAGCGAUAGAAAUAGGAGUAGUUCAAGGGACAAGAUCUAUAGGAAAUUCAAUCUCCCUUUCUGGAGGUAACCCAGGAAGAUCAUCAGGAAAUACAUCAGGAAAGUCGCACACGGUUGGUAUGUCCUUAAGACUUGGACUCCCUAAUCGUGUAUCGACUAUAUGAGCAAGAUAGGCAUCACAACCUUGACAAAUCAUCUUCCUUGCCAAGACCACAGAAAUAAUAUUAGAUGUCAAUGAUCUUUCUCCUUGAACUAACUACUAUAUGUGAAUAUGCAGGAGUUCUAAAAGUUACUUGUUUCACCCUACAAUCAACCAAUGCAUGCUGCCUAUGGAGCCAAUCCAUACCAACAAUAACAUCAUAGUCUUGGAAGGGCAUUUAAGCAAGUCCACAGUGAAGACCAGAUUUUGAAUCAUGAAGGGGAAAUCUCGGUAAAUCCUAUUAACAAUAGCCUGAUGACCUGUUGCUCAUGGAUUACUGCCCACUUCAUUUUCACUAACACGAGGAUGAUUUAGGUCAGUCAAGGGUUCCUCAUCUCCUCCCUGAAGGUGAGGUAGAGCAUUAUAAUGGGCUUGACUUUAGUCAAUGGUUUCACUAGCUCUAUUCGAAGAGGAGGCCAUAUUAAAAUUCCUUUAAAAGAUAAGAUCACACUGCAUUAGGGACACGUACAUGAUGUAUAUGCACAAGUAAUAUAACACAUUACAUUACACAAGUAUGCAAAAAUUUAUAAUCUCCGAUGUAUUUUCAAGAAAAGAAAUAACAACAAUUACUAGGUACGAUCACAACAACAAAAAAUCCUAGAAUCACAAACCUAGGCUCUGAUACCAAGUCUUGUAGCAACCCCUUUGGGAGGGUGCUACUUAGGAAACAAAUCCAAUUUACUAAUAAAAUAUUAAAAAGAUAUUAGUUAAAAAUAUUCAGAAUAAUUUAGUAGUGAAAACAGGCCCAUGCGAUAAGGUUCAAAGUGCAAUAUUUUUUUUUUGAAAAUAAACUUCAUAAUUUUAUUUUAAAUGAAAUACAAUGUCAAAAUAUCAACAUAAGGUGAUAUAAUCCUUCUUGAAUAAUCAACAGAUUAAAGCAACUUCCUAACAAAUUUAUAUUGUCAUUCAACAUCACUGCAAGUUUGUAUUGUACAUAAAUUUCAAACUAUCGGGUAUAUAAAAAGAAACUAGUUUUCUCCUUUGUACAUAUUUACAAGACAAUGUGUAAAUUCAUCAUAUUACAAGACUUGAGUUAUUAACAUAACCUAAAAUAGAAAAACAAGUUACCAAAUUUAAGUUACAAGAUUUGUGCAUAUGCAAAUGUGAUCUCCUUAAGUGCUCCCAAAAGACUACUUCAUAAUGGUCGUCUUCAGAUUUCAUCAUGUCCAUUACCUACGAUAGAAAACAACUAUCGCUAAGCAUAAAGCUUAGUGGCGUAUAAACUUUGGGGUUGGAGUCAUAAAAUUCUCCAAUUCCCCUUUUCUAUCAUAGUUAGCUCGAUUUAACAUAAUUUAAAAUAAGUGAACAAAUAUAUCAAACAUAUCAAAUAUCAAACUUUGAAGUGUUUCCAAAUAUCAAUAACAAUGUUCAAGAGUCGAGAAAGCGUAUACUAUCAAUCCAAGAGAGUUUACCAAAUAUCCAUUUUUCGCCCAAUAUGUACGUCAUGAAAAUAUUCCAGCAAACAAAAAGAGUAAACAUUUUAUACACAAACCUUGGUGUUUUACCACAAAAUAGUUCAAUCACAACUUGGGGACGUUCGAAUCGUCUAUGCCGUAAACAAACCAAAUCCGUCCACUUCCUCAAACACUUUCCCUUUGAUUUUUUAAGGGUUUAUAUACCUUAAAUACAUAAUCAAAUAUCUAAAUAAGUUCAGUGAUUUAACAUGUCAAACUAAGCAUGAUAUUGGUGAAAAUUACACAAAAAUGUUUGAACCAGAAAAUCUGGACAGUAUCAUUGUUUCGUGUUAUGGCUCAGUUUUAAAGAUCUAAACGGACAAACUAGACUGUAUAUUCUUCAUAAAAGAUGUAGAUCUAUGUCUUAGAGUUUCAUAAUAUUUUGAAUCACCCCCAUAUCUAUUUUUUUUACAUAAAGUUAUGCUAAAAUUACUAACAGUAGUACAUGGAGUAUUUCUAAAACUGAAAAUCUGGGCAGCACCUGCCCUGUACUUUCUGUUCCCUUUUCGGAUAAAUACCGGCAAAACUAGAUGUUAGUUCUUUCAUAAGAGUUAUAGAUCUAUGAAAUACCUUUCCAUAAAGUCCUGGAUCACUUAAAUCGGAGCUCUGUAGAAAAAGAUAUGUAGAAAACACUAAUAUCUGUCUAGUGCAAAAAUGAGUUUAGAAACUUACCACAAAAGAGAAGAGCAACUUGAUCUUCACCAAAAAAGAAUUUUGCUGGUUGAUUUAGUAGAAAUUUAUGGUGGUUUCAUGAAAUGUUCAGAGGCUAAGAAGUAGAGAGGGUAGGUGGUUUUGUUUCUUUGUCUUGCAAGAAUUAAACAAGAGAGAAGGAUACGGAAAGGCAAGUCUUCCAAAGUAAUAUCUAAACUUUGGAUAAG